UACGGAGGGUGCGAGCGUUGUUCGGAAUUAUUGGGCGUAAAGCGCGUGUAGGCGGCUCCUUAAGUCUGAUGUGAAAGCCCCGGGCUCAACCUGGGAAGUGCAUUGGAAACUGAGGAACUUGAAUACGGGAGAGGGUAGUGGAAUUCCUGGUGUAGGAGUGAAAUCCGUAGAUAUCAGGAGGAACACCGGUGGCGAAGGCGGCUGCCUGGACCGAUAUUGACGCUGAGACGCGAAAGCGUGGGGAGCAAACAGG
rnacentral:rRNA from 1 species